GCUACGGGAGGCUGCAGUGGGGAAUAUUGCACAAUGGGGGGAACCCUGAUGCAGCGACGCCGCGUGAGUGAAGAAGGAUUUCGGGAUGUAAAGCUCUAUCAGCAGGGAAGAAAAUGACGGUACCUGACUAAGAAGCCCCGGCUAACUACGUGCCAGCAGCCGCGGUAAGACGUCGGGGGCAAGCGUUAUCCGGAUUUACUGGGUGUAAAGGGAGCGUAGACGGUUAUGCAAGUCUGAAGUGAAAGCCAAAGGCUCAACCCUGGGACUGCUUUGGAAACGGUCAAACUGGAGUGCAGGAGAGGUAAGCGGAAUUCCUCUUGUAGCGGUGACCUGCGUCGCUCUUAGGAGGAACACCAGUGGC
rnacentral:rRNA from 1 species